rnacentral:rRNA from 1 species
ACCUACGGGGGGCAGCAGUGGGGAAUAUUGCACAAUGGGGGAAACCCUGAUGCAGCGACGCCGCGUGAGUGAAGAAGUAUUUCGGUAUGUAAAGCUCUAUCAGCAGGGAAGAUAAUGACGGUACCUGACUAAGAAGCCCCGGCUAACUACGUGCCAGCAGCCGCGGUAAUACGUAGGGGGCAAGCGUUAUCCGGAUUUACUGGGUGUGAAGGGAGCGUAGGUGGCAGGGCAAGGCAGAUGUGAAAACCCGUGGCUCAACCCCGGGAGUGCAUUUGAAACUGUCCAUCUGGAGUGCAGGAGAGGUA